rnacentral:rRNA from 1 species
AGGCUGCAACUCGCCUGUAUGAAGUCGGAAUUGCUAGUAAUCGUGGAUCAGCAUGCCACGGUGAAUACGUUCCCGGGCCUUGUACACACCGCCCGUCACACCAUGAGAGCCGGGAACACCCGAAGUCCGUAGUCUAACCUAUAUGGAGGACGCGGCCGAAGGUGGGUUUGGUAAUUGGGGUGAAGUCGUAACAAGGUAUC